GAUGAACGCUGGCGGCGUGCCUAAUACAUGCAAGUCGAGCGAAUGGAUUAAGAGCUUGCUCUUAUGAAGUUAUCGGCGGACGGGUGAGUAACACGUGGGUAACCUGCCCAUAAGACUGGGAUAACUCCGGGAAACCGGGGCAAAUACCGGAUACCAUUUUUAACCGCAUGGUUCGAAAUUGACAGGCGGCUUCGGCCGUCACUUAUGGACGCACCCGCGUCGCAUUAGCUAGUUGGUGAGGUAACGGCUCACCAAGGGAACGAUGCGUAGCCGACCUGAGAGGGUGAGCGGCGACGCUGGGACUGAGACACGGCCCAGACUCCUACGGGAGGCAGCAGUAGGGAAUCUUCCGCAAUGGACGAAAGUCUGACGGAGCAACGCCGCGUGAGUGAUGAAGGCUUUCGGGUCGUAAAACUCUGUUGUUAGGGAAGAACAAGUGCUAGUUGAAUAAGCUGGCACCUUGACGGUACCUAACCAGAAAGCCACGGCUAACUACGUGCCAGCAGCCGCGGUAA
rnacentral:rRNA from 1 species